rnacentral:rRNA from 1 species
AAAUUGAAGAGUUUGAUCAUGGCUCAGAUUGAACGCUGGCGGCAGGCCUAACACAUGCAAGUCGAACGGUAACAGGAAACAGCUUGCUGUUUCGCUGACGAGUGGCGGACGGGUGAGUAAUGUCUGGGAAACUGCCUGAUGGAGGGGGAUAACUACUGGAAACGGUAGCUAAUACCGCAUAACGUCGCAAGACCAAAGAGGGGGACCUUCGGGCCUCUUGCCAUCGGAUGUGCCCAGAUGGGAUUAGCUAGUAGGUGGGGUAACGGCUCACCUAGGCGACGAUCCCUAGCUGGUCUGAGAGGAUGACCAGCCACACUGGAACUGAGACACGGUCCAGACUCCUACGGGAGGCAGCAGUGGGGAAUAUUGCAC